UACGUAGGGUGCGAGCGUUAAUCGGAAUUACUGGGCGUAAAGCGUGCGCAGGCGGUUCGUUGUGUCGGCGGUGAAAGCCCCGGGCUUAACCUGGGAAUGGCCGUUGAAACUGGCGAACUGGAGUGUGGCAGAGGGGGGUGGAAUUCCGCGUGUAGCAGUGAAAUGCGUAGAGAUGCGGAGGAACACCGAUGGCGAAGGCGGCCUGCUGGGCAGUUGCUGACACUGAGGCGCGACAGCGUGGGGAGCAAACAGG
rnacentral:rRNA from 1 species